rnacentral:rRNA from 1 species
GACGAACGCUGGCGGCGUGCUUAACACAUGCAAGUCGAACGGAAAGGCCCUGCUUUUGUGGGGUGCUCGAGUGGCGAACGGGUGAGUAACACGUGAGUAACCUGCCCUUGACUUUGGGAUAACUUCAGGAAACUGGGGCUAAUACCGGAUAGGAGCUCCUGCUGCAUGGUGGGGGUUGGAAAGUUUCGGCGGUUGGGGAUGGACUCGCGGCUUAUCAGCUUGUUGGUGGGGUAGUGGCUUACCAAGGCUUUGACGGGUAGCCGGCCUGAGAGGGUGACCGGCCACUUUGGGACUGAGAUACGGCCCAGACUCCUACGGGAGGCAGCAGUGGGGAAUAUUGCACAAUGGGCGGAAGCCUGAUGCAGCAACGCCGCGUGCGGGAUGACGGCCUUCGGGUUGUAAACCGCUUUCGCCUGUGGCGAAGCGUGAGUGACGGUAAUGGGUAAAGAAGCACCGGCUAACUACGUG